ACUGAAAGGAACUCGGCAAAUAUUUUUAACCUCGCCUGUUUAACAAAAACAUCACUAGAAGAAAUGAUUUUUAGCAAUACCUGCCCAGUGCGACAUAUUACUGUAAACGGCCGCCCUAGCGUGAGGGUGCUAAGGUAGCGAAAUUCCUUGCCUUUUAAUUGUAGGCCUGCAUGAAUGGUUUAACGAGGGUUAAGCUGUCUCUAAGUUUAUAAGUUGAAAUUGUAUUAAAGGUGAAGAUACCUUUAUUUUGAAGUUAGACAAAAAGACCCCGUGCAACUUUGAAAAUUAGCUUUAUUAAAAGGUGAGAGAUUUUUAGGUGGGGCGCCUAGAGAGCUAGUUCUAACCUCUUUUAUUGAGUUAUUAAAACUUUCAAGUCUUGACCCGGUUAUACCCGAUCAUAGGAGAAGUUACGCCGGGGAUAACAGGCUAAUCCUUUAGUAGAGCUCGUAUUGGCUAAAGGGAUUGGCACCUCGAUGUUGAAUCAGGGAUGAUACCUUUGAGGCGUAGAAGCUUCGAGAGUGGGUCUGUUCGACCUUUAAUACCCUACGUGAUUUGAGUUCAGACCGGCGUAAGCCAGGUUGGUUUCUAUCUGCUUUAAUUAACUUUAUCUCGGCAUGUACGAAAGGACCGUUGAGA
rnacentral:rRNA from 1 species